rnacentral:lncRNA from 1 species
UAAUAGUUAUGUCUAUGUACAUCCUUUUAAGUGUAAUCCCUUAUAGAAUAUAUAUGUUGAGGUCUUCGAAAAAGCUCCACUAGGUAUCUUCUUAAUCAAAGAUGCGACAGUGGGAGAAGAUGAUGGAUCCUCGACAGUAGAAAUGGAAGUGUUUAUGACUUCCUUUGCAGCCGUACUCAUAUCUGCUAAAUUCUUAGUCAAGACGUUCAACCUCAACUUUUACAUCCAUGCUCGAGAGUCCAGAAGUAUCAACCAUCAUGUCGACUACUCUUUUUAUCCUUGCGGAAGAUGACAUCCCAUAUUGGACUAAUAUGGAUGUCUUCACUCCCUCAUAAGUGAGAUGCUCCUCACUAAUAGGAAUAAUAUUGAAAACAUCACCCGGCAAUGUUGACGCCAUAAGACCAUAUUUAACUUGGGUACGACAAAUCCCCCUCAACGCAAAAUCAAGUUCAAUUCUCCGUAAUCAGUUCUCAACAUCCUAAGAACAGAAUCUAGGAAGGCGGAGUUCCGCAACGGCCAUUGCUGAAUUCGCGUCUUCCGUUUGAAUCGACCAUGCUUGUUUUUGGGGAGACACAGGUGGUGAAGUUUGAUUUCGGGGCAUUUUUCGAAUCACGUUGGGGUCACCAAUGUAAAGUAUCUAAAUUUCAAAUAUCUACUGAUUAUAUUCCAGAUAAAUAAUAAUAAUAACCAGAAGAAGAAG